GCUUGUGUACAUAUUCAGUAAUGUCAAUGAGAUAUUUCAGUGUCCGGUUGUUGUUUUGUUGUGCUGUGUUAUAAAGAGUAAAGGUCAGAUAUCCUACUUGAGUCUUGAAUCAACUACAAAUCAGACAGACAGACAGACAUAGGGGAUGAACCCAGCAGGCAUGUCCUUACUUUUCUACGGUACAGGAUUCCAGGGGAGAUGGCUAAGUGGGUGUGAGAAUUAUCCUAUCCUGGGCUAGAUGGACGCAUUCACACCAGGAAUUUCUUUCCAGAUUGAGAGGCUUCUUACCCCAUCUGCCUAGCACUCACAGGGCACAGGAAGCCCCAGACCUGCUCAGAUCUGCGGCUGAUCAUGCACAACCCCAGGGAACUAUCUAGGUCACCACUUCUGAGAAACCUGAACCAGCUCCACCCUCCAGCCACUGACCUGACAAGUCCUGCUAAAAGGGACCUCACUUCUUACCUUGUCACUGGGGAGCCAGCCAGGCCAACAAGAUGCCACUGCUAGAAGCUCUCAUCUUCUCAUCCCUCUCGGCCUUUGGCCUUGGGCAGGCGACAUUGGAGCAACAUGAAAUAUCAGUUUCCAGAGCAAGAGAUAAGAGUGCCCACAUAUCAUGCAACGUGUCUGCUAAGAACUUCAACAGUGAAACCAUAUACUGGUACUGGCAGAAACCAGAUCAGGAGAUAGAAUAUCUAACAGCUGUCAUAACAAACCGUGUUCAAGUUCCCUUAGACGGGAAGAACAACAAAUUUGAGGCAAGUAAAAACACUCAUACUUCCACUUCAACAUUGAAAAUAAAUUUCCUAGAGAAAGAAGAUGAGGCCGUGUACUACUGUGGCAGCUGGCUUCUGGGAUCUGGUAGCUGGAUCAAGAUGUUUGCACAGGGAACUAAGCUCAUAGUAAUUCCCCCAGAUAGAAGCCUUAAUGUAGACAUUUUCCCCAAGCCCACAAUUUUUCUACCUUCAGUUACGGAGAGAGAACUCCAUAAGGCUGGAACAUAUCUUUGUCUUCUUGAGGAUUUUUUCCCGGAUGUUAUCAAGAUAGAUUGGAGAGAAAAGGAUGAUGAAACAAUUCUGAAAUCGCAGCAGGGAGACACGGUGAAGACUAACGACACAUACAUGAAAUUCAGCUGGCUGACCGUGACUGGAGCGUCAAUGGAUAAAGAACACAAAUGUAUCGUCAAACACGAGUGGAAUAAAGGAGGAGUUGAUCAAGAGAUUCUAUUUCCUCCACAGAAAAAAGAGCUCACUGCUAUUAAUUCUACAAAAGCUUCUCUAAGAUAUAAAGAUGAUACUUUGCAGCUGCAGCUCAAGACCACCUCUGCCUACUACACUUACCUUCUACUGCUCUUCAAGAGCCUGAUCUACUCUGUCAUCGUGGCCAUCUGUCUGCUUGGGAGACCAGCAUUCUGUGGCAAUGGGAAGAGUUCCUAACACAUGGUGGCACAAGAGUCCACUUUUCUCCAAUGGCAAUUGUCGCCAAAAAUAUCUGUUGUGGAUCUAAUGGGGCUUUCUCUCUGAGACUGUUAUAUUUCAGUUCAAAUGUGUCUUUUUCUAUUGUGUCAUUACUCCAGAACAGGUCUACACACCACUGGGCAAACAGAAACUUUCACUUUGCAGCUAGAACAAAUUCUGCCAUGACUCUGGGGCGGGGCCAGGGGGCAUCCACAGGGGUGUCAGCACUGCUCUCUCCUUAAUGUCCACCAGCUCCUCAGCCACCCAGUCCCAGAGCCUCUGAGCACAGCCAACACAGCUUCAGCUGCAUCUCCUGGGGCUCUUUAACCAGAUAACUUCUUCAAAGCCAUUUAUUCUACACAUCUGGACUGCCAUCACUGCUGCCCGAGUUUUGUACUGCUUUACAUAAUAGGCCAAUAAAAACAA